rnacentral:rRNA from 1 species
AGAGUUUGAUUCUGGCUCAGAACGAACGCUGGCGGCGUGGAUAAGACAUGCAAGUCGAGCGAAGGUUUGCGGGUAGCAAUAUUUGUAAACCUUAGCGGCGAACGGGUGCGUAACACGUGGGCAAUUUACCGUGAAGUUGGGAAUAACCCCGAGAAAUCGGAGCUAAUGCCGGAUGUGGUCCCAGGAUGGCAUCUUCCUGGGAUUAAAGCUGGGGAUCCGCAAGGACCUGGCGCUUCAUGAUAAGCCCGCGGCCUAUCAGCUAGUUGGUGGGGUAAAAGCCCACCAAGGCGAAGACGGGUAGCUGGUCUGAGAGGACGAUCAGCCACACUGGAACUGAGACACGGUCCAGACACCUACGGGUGGCAGCAGUCGAGAAUCUUUCACAAUGGGGGAAACCCUGAUGGAGCGACGCCGCGUGGGGGAUGAAUGGCUUCGGCCCGUAAACCCCUGUCAUCUGUGAUCAACCCUUUUCGGUUAAUAGCCGGAAAGCUGAUAGUAGCAGAAGAGGAAGGGACGGCUAACUCUGUGCCAGCAGCCGCGGUAAUACAGAGGUCCCAAGCGUUGUUCGGAUUCACUGGGCGUAAAGGGUGCGUAGGUGGCGAGGAAAGUUUGAUGUGAAAGCUCCGAGCUCAACUUGGAAAUGGCAUUGAAUACUACCUUGCUAGAGGAUUGGAGGGGGAACUGGAAUUCUCGGUGUAGCGGUGAAAUGCGUAGAUAUCGAGAGGAACACCAGUGGCGAAGGCGAGUUCCUAGACAAUUCCUGACACUGAGGCACGAAAGCUAGGGGAGCAAACAGGAUUAGAUACCCUGGUAGUCCUAGCCGUAAACGGUGCACGUUUGCUGUGGGCGGAUUCGACCCCGUCCGUGGCGUAGCUAACGCGAUAAACGUGCCGCCUGGGGAGUACGGUCGCAAGAUUAAAACUCAAAGAAAUUGACGGGGGCCUGCACAAGCGGUGGAGUAUGUGGCUUAAUUCGAUCAACGCGAAGAACCUUACCUGGCCUUGACAUGCAGGUGGUAGAAACCUGAAAAGGCAACGACUUCGCAAGAAGAGCCUGCACAGGUGCUGCAUGGCUGUCGUCAGCUCGUGUCGUGAGAUGUUGGGUUAAGUCCCGCAACGAGCGCAACCCUUAUGUCCUGUUGCCACUCCCGCGAGAGCGGGAAGCACUCCGGACAGACUGCCUCAUUUUAAUGAGGAGGAAGGUGGGGAUGACGUCAAGUCAGUAUGGCCCUUACGGCCAGGGCUGCACACGUACUACAAUGCCCGGCACAACGGGAAGCAAGACCGCAAGGUGGAGCAAAUCCCUUAAAUCCGGGCCCAGUUCAGAUUGUCGUCUGCAACUCGACGGCAUGAAGCCGGAAUCGCUAGUAAUGGCGCAUCAGCUACGGCGCCGUGAAUACGUUCCCAGGCCUUGUACACACCGCCCGUCACAUCAUGAAAGCCGGCUGUACCCGAAGUCGCCGAGCCAACUCCGACUUGUCGGAGAGGCAGGUGCCGAAGGUAUGGCUGGUGAUUGGGAUGAAGUCGAAACAAGGUA